rnacentral:rRNA from 1 species
CAGCCGCCGCGGGAAUACGUAGGUGGCAAGCGUUGUCCGGAAUUAUUGGGCGUAAAGGGCUCGCAGGCGGUUUCUUAAGUCUGAUGUGAAAGCCCCCGGCUCAACCGGGAAGGGUCAUUGGAAACUGGGAAACUUGAGUGCAGAAGAGGAGAGUGGAAUUCCACGUGUAGCGGUGAAAUGCGUAGAGAUGUGGAGGAACACCAGUGGCGAAGGCGACUCUCUGGUCUGUAACUGACGCUGAGGAGCGAAAGCGUGGGGAGCGAACAGGAUUAGAUACCCCAGUAGUCCCUGUCUCUUAUAC